rnacentral:pre_miRNA from 1 species
CUUGUACUCCCUCCGUCCGAAAAUACUUGUCAUUGAAAUGGAUGUAUUUGGAUGUAUUUUAGUUCUAGACACAUCCAUUUUGAUGACAAGUAAUUCCGGACGGAGGGAGUACUUG